AUGACAAGUCAUGACCAGAGCAAGAUGGAGCUGACUAACACUAGCAAGAAAGAUGAAGCAAUCCAUACACCUAGUGCUUCCAAAUUAGUCAAACACAAGGUAGGGAUGAAAAGACAGAAGAUUCAUAAAGGAGCCAUGAUAUGCACGAAGUCUGAAUUGCAAUUGCUCUCUUGAAGCAUGAGAAUAAUUUGGCACACUGCUUUUACUACUGCCCAUUUAACACGUUAAAUUGUCUGAAUAGCAAUUACUUCCUAGUCUAGCUUCUUCAAUUUAGAGCUCAUUUAACACAUGUUAAAUAUGGAAAUAGCCAUUUAUAACAUCUUCAUAUUUAGAAAAUGAACAACCACUAGGAUUGGAGCAAGUCCUUCUAUAAAUACUCAAUCUGUAACUAUAAUCUCUUUAGUGAAUUGUGAUGCAUUUGCUUGGAUCUUUCUCUUGUAGAAUUCUCUCCCUAAAUUCCUCUCAAUUCAAUUAUCUCUCUAUCUAUCUCUAUCUUUCACUUCUUCAACAAUUCCUUAUUCUAUCUCAUUCUCCCAUUAUCUCACAACUAAACCCUACUAGUUUUUUCAUCAAGUUUAUUUCUCUAGUCUCUAAACAAUGAAACACCUAAACCACAAGUUUGAUCUUAACAAUAACCCUCUUGUACCUAACAGAUGCUCUAGAUAUAACUAUCUAUAUAUGCCCCAUUGCCACCCUUCUUUCCUCAACAAAUUGUAAAGGAAUUGUAGACUUUUAAGGAAUGUGCUGACUUUUCUGGAUUGAAUAAUAUCUUGACCGUGGCCUUAUCACAACAAAUGGUCUUAGAAGUUCAUCUUAUAGGUUCUUUUUAAUUGUUCCAGGGAAGAAAGUUGUUGGAAAGAGUGGAAAACCUCUUCAUUACAAUGGUAGCACAUUCCACAGGAUUAUUCCCUACAUCAUGAUCCAGGGAAGUAUUUUUCCCCGUAGCUAUGGAAGUAGUGGAGAAUCAGUCUAUGGCUAGAAGCUUGCUGACAAGAACGUCAGGAUGAAGCAUGCUAGACAUGGUAGGACUGGUUUCUCCUCAACCCAAUUAUUUCAGUAAUCCUGGUAGUAACAUUGUUUAAUAUAUAAAUAUGUAUCUUUUGCACAGGGAUUUUGUCAAUGGAAAAUGCUUGCCCUGAAACAAAUGGUUCACAAAUGUCAUUUCUUAGAAAAUGUUUCUAAAAGGACAACACUUUUUUUUUUUUGGUUUUUGCUUAUUGUUAUUGAUUAUUUUCAUUGUUGCUGUAGGGUUGGUUGGUGUUUUGUUCAAGAUUCUUGAGAGAUAUCACUUUCUUCUUUGUUGGUAAUGAUUCACUGUAGCUUUCAUUUAAUUUUCUUAAAGUUACUUAUUACAUACUAAAUUUGCAUAUUAUGUACUCCUAAAAUUUAUUUUCCUGUAUCGCUGUUCAUUGCAGUUUUACACUCCCAAUUUUUCAGUUACUGCCUCUAUAGCAGAGACGUUAGUACAAAUUAA
rnacentral:sRNA from 1 species